CCGAGUGAGGGCCUUCGGCCCGACCUCCAACCCUUUGUUGACCAACACCUGUUGCCUCGGGGGCAACCCGGCCUCCGCGCCGGCCCCCGGCGGACCACUUUAACGCUGUUUCUAUGCGUCGGAGUACUUGAUGAAUCAAUCA
rnacentral:misc_RNA from 1 species